GAUCCUGGCUCAGAAUCAACGCUGGCGGCGUGCCUCAGACAUGCAAGUCGAACGAUUAAACUUCUCUUCGGAGAAGAUAUAAAGUGGCGCACGGGUGAGUAACACGUAGGUAAUGUACCUUUGGGUGGGGAAUAACUUAGGGAAACUUAAGCUAAUACCGCAUAAUGCAGCGGCUCCUUCGGGAGACAGUUGUUAAAGAUUUAUCGCCUAAAGAGCAGCCUGCGGCAGAUUAGCUAGUUGGUAAGGUAACGGCUUACCAAGGCUACGAUCUGUAUCCGACCUGAGAGGGUGGUCGGACACACUGACACUGAAUAACGGGUCAGACUCCUACGGGAGGCAGCAGUCGGGAAUUUUGGGCAAUGGGCGAAAGCCUGACCCAGCAACGCCGCGUGAAGGAUGAAGUCUUUCGGGAUGUAAACUUCGUAAGAAUAGGAAGAAUAAAUGACGGUACUAUUUGUAAGGUCCGGCUAACUACGUGCCAGCAGCCGCGGUAAUACGUAGGGACCAAGCGUUGUUCGGAUUUACUGGGCGUAAAGGGCGCGUAGGCGGCGUGUCAAGUCAAUUGUGAAAUCUCCGGGCUUAACUCGGAACGGUCAAUUGAUACUGAUGUGCUAGAGUACAGAAGGGGCAAUCGGAAUUCUUGGUGUAGCGGUGAAAUGCGUAGAUAUCAAGAGGAACACCUGAGGUGAA
rnacentral:rRNA from 1 species